CCUCGCAGGCUGGCCUGGACAGUUCUUUGAGUUGCUCCUGCAGGCCCUGCUGUCUGUGCUGCCUCUAACCACCUCCUUAUUGCCACUUGCCAGGGCUGGGGCCCUGCACAACUGACCCUGGCUGCCCCAGUCGGCAGGAGCAGGUGGGAAGUUUGCCUUAGUGAGGAACGGAGGCCGUAGCAUGGGCCAUGGUUGCCGGGUCCAACGCAUGGAGAGAAGCGCUAUUUCAUUGGAACCCCUGACAACCCUGAAGUACUUUUGUGCAGGAAGGAUGAGGUGAGGUGAGAGGGGUCACUCAUCUCAACCCAGGAUUCUUAAUUUGUGAAGCGUGGGGGGACCUGGGACUUCCUUCGAGUUGUGUAAAAAUGUUCUCUGUAUAGGCAUGAGCACACUCUUUCUGGAAAGAAUGUCUAACAAUACGUUAUCACUUUCUCGAAGGGCUCUUGACCUACACAUUGCUCUGCUCCCGCAAAGCAUGAGAGGGGGCUCUGCGAUCCGCCUGCCUCAGCCUCCCAAAAUGCUGAGAUUACAGGCGUAAGCCACUGCCCCGGCCUGCCUCCUGAGAUUUUAAAAUGCAUGUUUAUGGAUUUGCUUGUUUGUUUUCUGAUUUGUAAAGCACUCCACGCUUAUGUGAUAACAAGAAAUAACGUAAUAGAAGGUGACAUGAAAAAGCAAAAUACACAAUUGUUAUUUCUACUCUGCAAAAGUGGGUAUUCACCAAGUGUCUGCUAUGCUUCCUGGUGACUGAGGAUACAGCAGAAGAAGGAAACAGACCCGAAUCUCUUUCCUUGUGGAGACUGCGGUUUUGGAUGGGGAGGCUGGGUUUCCAUGAUAUAAAAACAGACAACAGCUGCAAGGAUGAAUGACUGUUUGAGGCUGUUCGGCGGUGGGUGAACUGGUCUGGGAUCCUCCAUCACCCAGAACACUGGCAGAUUCAGGGGUGAGAGGAAAAGAAUGUGCUUUUUGUGGAAAAGUUGGAAAAUAUGGAAGAGAGAAAACAAGGAACUGAGGAUCUUCAGGUGCACAGGCUCGCUCUCUUCAGCUUCAGCCAGAGGGACAGGCAGAGGAGUCAUUAUCCAGCGCCGCUGGCCAGGAGCCCGACCGUGAGCCUGUCUUCUUUCUGCUUUCAAAGCAGCUGCGUCAUGUGGCUUCUCUCCGACCUCCCGAGCUGCUGUUAAGUACAACUCUUCAUGUGAUUUCAAAGAGAUGCAGUCAUCGCUCCACGGUGUCAUCAAAAAUACUCCAGGGCAGCGUAGGUGGGUGGGGCGGACUCAUUUACACAAAGACUGGAGGCCUCUGGGGGGCCAUCCUCUGGCCAGCUCUGCUGUGUCUGAUGGGACUGAGACUGGGCGUGGGGUGGGGAUUUGCCUCGGCCUAGGGCUUUUACUGGGUGAAAAACCCUCUGCUUUUGCUUAGGGUUGGUGAGAUCAUUAUCUAACAGCAUGGCCACAGGAGAGAGCCUUUUCCAGGUUCCUGAAGUGAUAAAAGACCACUCUCCUGAUGAGAAACGAGCUGGAAAGAGAGUGCUGCUUGGCUCUCACUGCAAACUGCAGUUCCAGUCAGCAUAUAUAAUGAGCUACACAAAUGUAUUUGGGACUAGAAGUGAGCGCAGAAAGCAAGCAUUCUGGCAGCCUAGGAUGUGAGUUGUUUUGACUUUAAAAAAUCAUCUUUGAGGUUGAAAAUACAAGGUUUUUUUUCCUCCCUAACAUAAAUAUGUGCUCACUCUAAAGAACCCCAGGAUUCCAGGCAGCACAUACCAUUUCCCGAAAUGCAGCAGGAGGCUGCUGCAAGUGGAUACGAACAUUUUGCUCAUAACACAGUCCUCCCUCACAUUUCUCUCUCGAAAAAAAAAAAAACAAAAAAACCAAAAAACCGAAACCAGCUGCUAGUAGAAGCUACUUCUUAAAAGGACACAAGGCAGGUUCAAAAAUAAUCAUGGGUUUUUUUUUUCUACCCCAGUCUCCCACCCAGCCACAAAGAACAAACAACAAAACCCAAGCGAAAAAGAGGGUGGAGGGACGUUUGCUUUGACUUUCUGUAUGCUUUCUGGCAUUAAGCACUUACUUGUGGGCUGACAGUUUGCAGCAUUUAUAAAGCAUCUUAGCUUUCUCAUGGGACUGGUGUGAGGUCUUGCCACCCACCCAUGGAAGCUGUAGCCCUCUUCACUGUGGCAGCCACCAGGGUGCGGUUGGAGGGUCCGCCCCACCGCACAACUGUAACCAGGCCCACAGGUUGGGUGUGGAGAGCUGUGCAUUAGAAGGGCUUGGUCCAUCUGUGGCCUCUGCGAGUGGCAGGAAGAGACUCUAAUGUCACCCACUAGUAGCCCUAAUAACAUUACGAGGCUUGGUCCACUGAAUCCAAACCUUUUCCUUGGUCUGUGGACUCAUGUCACACUGCAAUGCAAUCUUACAGAAAAAUGCACAAACCCAAACUGCCAGACCAAGUAUUUCCAUCUGCUUCUCGCCUUUCUUACCCUGUCAUUGGAGGGAAUACUUGGGAAGAAGAAUGUUCUCAAUGGGUGUGAGCUUGACUCAGCGUCAGCCCCUCCUGGGCUGCCACUCUUUUCUGUUCAGAUCAAGUGAUCCGUGCUCCAGCAUAUUGGUAGUCUGCAGUGAUGUGGGUGGUCCUGUAUGUUGAGAGGCCUUUGGUAACCCCUCACUGGAGCAGCGUCAGCUGGUCCUGGAAACACACUUGGGACCUGUAGUUUGAGCCACCACACCGAAUGGGUCUUAUUUGGGACUCAGAAUAUAUCCUGGAGAGCAGGGAACUUAGGAGUGUAACAAUGUCAUUUGGCAGGGACCAGAGACUAAGCAUUAUCUUCUAAGGUGAGCUCUUCCUCAGGGCCCCUUCCACACGGCCUUGGCCACUCCCAGCUUGCUAAGUGUCUGCAGAGCCCCUGCUGUUGAUGUGUGUAUUUAGAUCUCUUAGUGUUCUCGCAUCUAAGUAAAUGAGGGCUCUGAGCUUAGCCUACACUGUGCUUCCCUGCAUGUACAUGCAUGCACACACUCAACACAGCACAUACACACAUGCACACGUUCAACACAGCACACACACACACUCAAUACCCAGCACACACGUACACACACCCACAGGCUGAGUGGCCAGUGCUUAUGGGGAAGAGUGCUGAUAGAGAAGGAUUUAGGUGCCAGUACCCUGGGCUGAGAGCUUACAUGUGGCCCUGGGAUUGCGGUCAGGGUCUUGGAGAAAGGGACUACAGGGAGCGUAAAGUGGGUUGUUUUCAGGAAGGUCUGUGUUACACUCUGGGAGUAUGCCAUGAUUCUUUAAGGCUCAGAUGAGAAAGAGUGACAGAGUUGGGAAAAGGGGCAUCCUCCUCACUUUUGCACGGGACCCAGUGUCACCCUAGGCUGGGAGACUAGAAGGGAAGCUUGUGUCAUUCAGUGACAUGAGGGUUCUUCAGUUUUAGGAGAUGUCCCCCCACCCCGGCAGGGUGCUAACCAUGGAGGACCACCACGGAUGCCUCCAGCAGCUUCUGGCCAGAAGAUCCUGUAAGGAGCCAGAGAAGAAGGUGAGGGGCCUGGUGCUGCGCGUGUGUGAGGUUGUUCAGGCUCCUUCAGUGACCGAUGCUAUGACAUCUACACGUCUCUCUCUCUGUGUCUGUCAACCUACCUAUUGAUUAUCUAUCUAUCUACCUAUCCUAUCACAACUAUCUCUGUCUUUCAUCUAUUUAUCAUCUACCUACCUAUCUCAUCUAUGCAUCUAUAUAUGUAUGUAUGUAUCUAUCUAUCUCUAUCUAUCUAUCAAUCAUCUGUUUUUUUUAUCUUGGUUACACCAGAUAAGCUGAGGAUUUUGCAGGUAAGCAUGUGGAAGCUAAAAGGCAGGCAAGACUUGGUUAGAAAUACCAGUGUGUCCUCUCUCACUGCUACCAACCAGCCAGUGAGGGAUUUGCAGUGCGAUAAAACAGGCCUAAGCCCUGACUGGCUGAGGGAGCCAGUGCCUUACAGGUUAGUCAGCCAAAUGGGGAUAGUGGAAAAAACAAUGCACAAAAGGUUUCUGAAAAGCAGAAAUCAGUGUGCCCUUGAGUAGUCAUGGCAGUAAAUUAGCAGCAGUCAGUGGCAAGGUGCCCACAGCUGGGCUUUUCCCGGCCUCUUUUUCACAUGCCACAGGGGACAGCUUGCUACAAGGGAGCCUCAGUUGGCACCACUCCACUGUUUAUAUUUGGUCAUUUAUUCCCAAUCCUCAUGAGUCAACCAGAGAGCUCUGCCAGUGGUGAUGAUUCUGCCGCGCUGUUUUAUCUGGAGCAGUGCCAUGGACUCUGCGCUGAUGUAUUCUCCCUGAAGGAAAACAGGAAAAGAUAGCCGUACACAGGCAAAAUAUGCACAUAUUUCACUCACUGGAGCAGCCACAAAGCCAGAAUAAGUGAACUAGUUCAGCUAAAACAAAAGCCAACCCAAACACUGAACCACACAAGCCCAGGAAAUUUUGUUGAAAAAAUCAGAAAGGUAUGAAGAAGGAGGUACAACAUGCACUGGGGAGCCCUGUUUCACACUGUUCUGGUGAUGCUCACACAGAGCCUGGAGAGCUAAAACCCCAGAUGUGAUUAGUAUCUGCCAAGCAAAUUCCCCCUUGGAAGGGUUGAUUUCAGAGCGGAGUUAAAGGGAAGAAGAGGUGGGACAUAAGACUUCCAGUUUUGCAGGUGCGAGACUGUUGCAGAAAGAUCACUGUUCCAUGCAGUGAGCAGCUGCAGGAACAGUGCUUCAAUUUCUUAUUUCUUGGAGGCAGCUUUCCCCGCGCAUCUCUGCAGACUAUAGUGCUAGCCAUGGCUUCCCGAUUCAGCAGGCAGCCUCCUCAGAGCCGCAGGAGCUGUAGUGACUGUGGGGGCUGUGGUGACUUUGACAAUCAGUCCUGCAAUGUGGCUUUGGAUGUAAUUCCUAGAAGCUUAGCCUCAAAUCUGCUUCCUUUCCUCUUCCAGUGAUUCUGUAAACCAUUUCACACCCUGAAUAAAUUCUUCUCCGCUUAAACUAGUGAGAGUGUA